GUGCUUGCUUCGGCAGCACAUAUACUAAAAUUGGAAGAUACAGAGAAGAUUAGCAUGGCCCCUGCACAAGGAUGACACGCAAAUUCGUGAAGCGUCCCAUAUUUGG
rnacentral:snRNA from 1 species